AGUCGAGCGGACAGAUGGGAGCUUGCUCCCUGAUGUUAGCGGCGGACGGGUGAGUAACACGUGGGUAACCUGCCUGUAAGACUGGGAUAACUCCGGGAAACCGGGGCUAAUACCGGAUGCUUGAUUGAACCGCAUGGUUCAAUUAUAAAAGGUGGCUUUUACCUACCACUUACAAAUGGACCCGCGGCGCAUUACCUAGUUGGUGAGGUAACGGCUCACCAAGGCAACGAUGCGUACCCAACCUGAAAGGGUGAUCGGCCACCCUGGGACUGAAACACGGCCCAAACUCCUACGGGAGGCAGCAGUAGGGAAUCUUCCGCAAUGGACAAAAGUCUGACGGAGCAACGCCGCGUGAGUGAUGAAGGUUUUCGGAUCGUAAAACUCUGUUGUUAGGGAAAAACAAGUACCGUUCGAAUAGGGCGGUACCUUGACGGUACCUAACCAAAAAGCCACGGCUAACUACGUGCCACCAGCCGCGGUAAUACUUAGGUGGCAAGCGUUGUCCGGAAUUAUUGGGCGUAAAGCGCGCGCAGGCGGUUUCUUAAUUCUGAUGUGAAAGCCCCCGGCUCAACCGGGGAGGGUCAUUGGAAAC
rnacentral:rRNA from 1 species